rnacentral:rRNA from 1 species
UUCCGGUUGAUCCUGCCGGACCUUACUGCUAUCGGGGUGGGACUAAGCCAUGCAAGUUGCGCGCUUCUAAGCUAUGGUAGAGGAGCAGCGUAAGGCUCAGUAAAACAUGGUUAACUUGCCCUCGAGACGGGAAUACCCCCGGGAAACUGGGAAUAAAUCCCGAUAGGCGAGAUGGCUUGGAACGAUAUCUCGUCUAAAAAACGUUAAGACCAUGCUUCUUUUCGUUGCUCGAGGAUAGGACCAUGUCCGAUCAGGCUGUUGGUGAGGUAACGGCUCACCAAACCUAUAACCGGUACGGGCCGUGAGAGCGGGAGCCCGGAGAUGGAUCCUGAGACAAGGAUCCAGGUCCUACGGGGCGCAGCAGGCGCGAAAACUCCGCAAUGCGCGAAAGCGUGACGGGGUCACCCCGAGUGUAACCUGCUGAAGGUAACUUUUCCUCAGUCUAAUCAGCUGAAGGUAAUAAGGGGAGGGCAAGUCUGGUGUCAGCCGCCGCGGUAAUACCAGCUCCCCGAGUGGUAAGGACGAUUAUUGGGCCUAAAGCGUCCGUAGCUGGCUUGAUAAGUUUCCCGUUAAAUCCGACGAUCCAAUCGUCGGGCUGCGGGAAAUACUGUUAAGCUAGGAGGCGGGAGAGGCCGGUGGUACUUUUGGGGUAGGGGUGAAAUCCUAUAAUCCCAAGAGGACCACCAGUGGCGAAGGCGACCGGCCAGAACGCACUCGACGGUGAGGGACGAAAGCUGGGGGAGCAAACCGGAUUAGAUACCCGGGUAGUCCCAGCUGUAAACGAUGCGGGCUAAGUGUCGGGAUGGCCAUAGAGCCAUCUCGGUGCUGCAGGGAAGCCGUUAAGCCCGCCGCCUGGGGAGUACGGCCGCAAGGUUGAAACUUAAAGGAAUUGGCGGGGGAGCACCACAAGGGUGAAGCUUGCGGUUCAAUUGGAAUCAACGCCGGU